ensembl:snRNA U6 U6 spliceosomal RNA
GGGAUUGUUUAGGAGCACAUAUAUGAAAAUUGCAGUGAUACAGAGAAAGAUUAGUAUGUCUUCUCUACAAGGCAUGCACAUUCGUGGAAGUCUACAUUUUGAU